rnacentral:rRNA from 1 species
UACGGAGGUGCAAGCGUUAUCCGGAAUGAUUGGGCGUAAAGAGUCCGUAGGUGGUUAUUCAAGUCGAUUGUUAAAGAGCGGGGCGUUAACCCCCGGUAGAAGCAGUGGAAACUGAUAACUAGAGAGAGGUAGGGGUAGAGGGAAUUCCCGGUGUAGCGGUGAAAUGCGUAGAGAUCGGGAAGAACACCAGUGGCGAAAGCGCUCUACUGGGGCCUCAUCUGACACUGAGGGACGAAAGCUAGGGGAGCGAAAGGG